CCUCCCUUCCUCUUUCUCCCUUCCUCUUUCUCCCUUCCCCCCUUCCCCCCUUCCUCUUUCACCCUUUCCUUCCUCCCUUCCUCCCUUCCUCCCUUCCUCCCUUCCUUUCCUUCCUUCCUAUGAAAAACAGGGGAAGAAUCCCAACAAAAGAAGGACUUUCAGGAACGUAGCACGUUAUCUGCUGAGCCAUGUUGUUCUGUCUCCAGACUUUGAGCAGUGUGAAGGGACCAGAGGCAGGCUGCGACUGGCAGACCAGAUAUCAGGAGGUUUCUUCAUUGUGUGCAUCCGGUGUGUCUGGAAAGAUGAAGGACCUUCAUUUUCUGCUCAUUCCAAAUAGUCAAUUCAAACUGUCAUCACCACCUGCACCACUUCAUCUUAUACUAGUUAAAGUUUGUGUUGUUCACACUCCUGGAGAAUCUGUUGCUGGGGAAUCUGAAAACACAUGGCAGGAGGUGCCUCCUAAUGAUGAAAGGACUUGAUGUAAAAUCUUUGAUUUUGAUUUUUUUGGGGACAACUUCAUUGCUUAGGACUAAUUCAGGACUAUGACUCUUUGUGCCAGCUCAAGACAAAAAAUGUAAGUCAAUAUGUUGGAAUUUCCUGCAGGUUGGAAAUUCUGUUUCUUUUCUCUCUCAUCUCUUCCUGGCAUCACCUCACCAACCUGACUAUCACAGCAUCCCAGCAACGGGACAGACAGAAAACAUGUUUGGCUGAGCAGGAAAAAGUCUCUAGGGCUGGUGUCUGGCAUAAGGAGACACCUUCAUGUGAGUGCUUGCGUCACAUUUCAGAGGAUGGAGAAGCUGUAGGCUUGCAGGAGUCAUGAUUUCAGGUGAAUUCCAGAGUAGAGUAUGCAGAAUUGACCCAGAAGUCCUACUCUGUCAGAGAGAGGGGCCAUAAAACAGUACAGCAGCUAGAUGUCUGCACAGGACUUCUGCUGUAUCAAAAAAAAAGAGACUCAGCUGCAUUUCAAUUUUGAUGCUAAUCCAAAGGAGUGUCCAGGUUUCUUGGCUCCAGUACGUGGUUGGAGGGCAGAACAGUCUGUGCCUGUAUUACAGAUGAGGAACUGUAACAUGAAGGACUCCUCUACCCUGAAUAUGCAUGAACUCAUCUUACUUCAAGAAAUAGUUUGUCUUCCAAGACUUUUGGACUCACUUAGGAAAAGUGCUGUAAGGAAAAAUUGCCUUUGUCCAGAAAAGAAUAAAAAAUUUCUCCAGACACAUAACAGGGGUAAAAUGUGUCUGCAUUGCCUCCAGCUUCUGCUAUUUCCUUCUUUUUCCCUUUUAAUACAUUACUAUCAAGAAGAGAUUCCCCAGCUGUAUUUUGCACUUGAUUCAAUGGCUUGCAUGUUAAACUCCAACAUCACCAGAGGGAUGAAGGAUAAAGAUGAACAGUGUUUCCUGUGAUGGAUGGGAUGAGGAGCAACAUUCUGCUGAGAUGGCCACUGGAUAUUUCACGUGGAUGAGUUGAGCCAUAUACUUCAGCUUCCACUGGAAAGACCAUGUAGUGGUCUCAGGGUGCUUUACAGAAGGUUUGAAGGCUCUUAGGUCUCCAGGAGUCUUUCUUAGCAGCUCCCAUGUGAGGAUCAGACUGAUGGCACUGGCUGUCCCCUUGGCCUGAAGGUCAACACGUAUGGACCUCCCCUGUGAGCACCCCUCUAGUUUCUAUAUGGUCCUGGCUGUCCCUGCAAUGAGGAUGAGCCUCUGGUUGGUUGUGUCAUGCUCCAUUUCCAGGAGUUGGACUGGCUUAGAGUCAAAAUUUUUAAAACUUUCCCUGUGACACCUCAGGUUCAUGGCAGAACCUCAUCUCUUAGCAGAACUGAGGAUCUCCAUAAAGUCAUGGAAUCAUAGAACCACAGAACAGCCAGGAUUGGAAGGAACCUUAAAGUCCAUCCAUUUCCAAUGCCCCUACUGUGUGUUGGUUGCUCCCUGCCAGAUCAGGGUUAGCAUGUAGAUGAAGACGUGCAGUUGCAUAUCAAGUUGCAAGCAAAAACAGCUGUCACUAGGCAGACUGAAAAGUCUACUUACAGUGGCUCGAGUUUCUCCAGAAUUGUUUUGAUUGUCUUAGUGACUCCUUUUGCCAGCCUACAGUUUGUGAACUGAUUUUCUUCACACCCAAAAAGUCACGUGGGUAAGAAAGUGUUUAAAUGAAGAGGAAAGACAAUGAAAUAGAAAAUGAACAGCAACAAUUACUCUCUUUGGAGGUAUAUCAACAGUCCUUGGAGUCCACUCUUAGCUUCUUGGAGAGGCAACUGCUGAGCCACUUGGUUGCAGCUUCCCUUCUUCCACAUGCCUUCCAGAGCUUUUCAUUGCUACAGGUCCCAAGAGAUUUGCGCCUGCCUGCUGGGAGGGAUGCAGGAAUUAG
ensembl:lncRNA